rnacentral:rRNA from 1 species
GACGAACGCUGGCGGCGUGCUUAACACAUGCAAGUCGAACGAUGAACUCCAGCUUGCUGGGGGGAUUAGUGGCGAACGGGUGAGUAACACGUGAGUAACCUGCCCUGGACUCUGGGAUAACCCCGAGAAAUCGGAGCUAAUACCGGAUAGGACCUUGGAUCGCAUGAUUCUUGGUGGAAAGUUUUUCGGUUUGGGAUGGACUCGCGGCCUAUCAGCUUGUUGGUGAGGUAAUGGCUCACCAAGGCGUCGACGGGUAGCCGGCCGGAGAGGGUGACAGGGCACACUGGCACUGAGACAAGGCCCAGACUCCUACGGGAGGCAGCAGUGGGGAAUAUUGCACAAUGGGCGCAAGCCUGAUGCAGCAACGCCGCGUGCGGGAUGACGGCCUUCGGGUUGUAAACCGCUUUUAGUAAGGAAGAAGGGGAGCUUGCUCCUUGACGGUACUUGCAGAAAAAGGACCGGCUAACUACGUGCCAGCAGCCGCAGUAAUAC